rnacentral:piRNA from 2 species
UGCCAGUUGGUGGCCUGCUGGGAUGCUGGU